UACGAAGGGUGCAAACGUUGCUCGGAAUCUUUGGGCGUAAAGCGCACGUAGGCGGCUUGCCAAGUCGGACGUGAAAUCCCUCAGCUCAACUGAGGACGUGCAUCCGAAACUGGCGAGCUUGAGUGCUGAAGAGGAUCGCGGAAUUCCCGGUGUAGAGGUGAAAUUCGUAGAUAUCGGGAGGAACACCAGUGGCGAAGGCGGCGAUCUGGGCAGACACUGACGCUGAGGUGCGAAAGCGUGGGGAGCAAACAGG
rnacentral:rRNA from 1 species